rnacentral:rRNA from 1 species
UACAGAGGUGGCAAGCGUUGUUCGGAAUUACUGGUCGUAAAGGGCGCGUAGGCGGCCUUCUAAGUCAGACGUGAAAUCCCCCGGCUUAACCUGGGAACUGCGUCUGAUACUGGGAGGCUAGAGUGCGGGAGAGGGAUGCGGAAUUCCAGGUGUAGCGGUGAAAUGCGUAGAUAUCUGGAGGAACACCGGUGGCGAAGGCGGCAUCCUGGACCGACACUGACGCUGAGGCGCGAAAGCUAGGGUAGCAAACGGG